rnacentral:rRNA from 1 species
UAAUACGAAGGUCCCAAGCGUUGUUCGGAAUCACUGGGCGUAAAGGGAGCGUAGGCGGCGUGGUAAGUCAGGUGUGAAAUCCCGGGGCUCAACCCCGGAACUGCACCCGAUACUGCCAUGCUUGAGGGUUGGAGAGGUAGCUGGAAUUCUCGGUGUAGCAGUGAAAUGCGUGGAUAUCGAGAGGAACACUCGUGGCGAAGGCGAGCUACUGGACAACAUCUGACGCUGAGGCUCGAAGGCCAGGGGAGCAAAAGGG